CGAAUGUCAACACGGCCUUGGAUUAAAUCAUUGUAAACAAUCAAAACAAUGAUGGGCUGAAUAAUUUCUGAAAAGAAUUUUCACGUAAAAUUCUGUUCAUUUACAAUCAAGAAAAUUCAAGUCUUGUAGAGAAAUGUAGAGAAUUGGUUAUUCACUUAUUUGUUAGACAAUGUUUGGUGCUGGCUGCUGGGAUGUGAAUCUUUUCAACUAUUGUGAAGAAGAAGAAAAUGUUGAUUAAGAAUCAAGAAAUCUCUUCUUAAUUAAAAUUUAGCCAGAUUUGAAUGGAUUGAAAAGGAAGACGAGGUGUUAAGAUGGCACUCCACUGACAUGGCUGUCCAUCAGACCAAAUUGGUUGUCGCCAGUUGUCACAGUUAAUGUAAAUGGAAACAGUCAUUCAGAUAGAAUUGGAAAACAAAGAAUCAGCCUGGAUCACUAUUGCCCAGACCGAGGAAUGGAACUAGUUCCAGCCCUGGAUGUGGAAGGAGAUUAUAAAGAACCACACAUGCUACGACAACUGAUUGUCACCUCCUAAGUGUGCUUUCCACCCACUAAGCUUUUUCAUGCUGGUCGUGGCUUGCUAACUCUUCUUUCCGAAGCUUUACUGAAUGUGUAGUUCAUGCGAUAUAACAUGGCUUUUGUGUGCAAAUAGCUUGAGGAGAAGCAAGUUCAACCAAACCUCAAAUUUGGUCACAUUUUUGUUGCGUAUGGGUUCCAGGCAGAUUAAAAUUUCCACAACAAAUUCAAGUCGGCUUGGGAAAGCCGGUUGCCUUGUCUUUCUGCGCCGGAAAGUCUGCUUCAUGGGAUAGGUUAACCCAGAUGCAGCUUCAGCCAAUAUUCUUCAUGUAGUGCAUGCUGCCGUAGAAAAGAGGAGUAUUGGGAUCGUUUGUAGCAACCUGGACUGAUUUGGUUGACACAGGAUCGUUACAUUUCGCUUGGCCAGGAUGGAUUUUACAGGCUUGUUUGGCUUGGAAUCAUUCCUUUCAUUAAAAUAUCUGAUGAUAUUCUCCACUCCAAGAAUCAUAUGUUCAACUGAUUAAAUUCCAGGACUACAUUUAAAAUUCGUUUGCCGAACUUUCUUCGCUGUGGGUUUUGAAUGAACCACUUGACAAACGUUUUUCAGUCGGAGCAGUAAUUAUCGAGAUGGGGCGAUUAUAGAAACGUGGCUACUCUUCUCAGCGUCUAUACUCUUUCAGAUUCUGCCACCAUCCCGACUUCUUUAUCCCAAAAGGAAGGAUCUGUUCACUACCGCUUGCUUUUAGAUCACGACAGUGUUUAUGUAGAUAACCUCAAUAUGAAAUGCGUUGCGCGAACUAUUCGCCAUACAAAAACAAAUGGCACAAACUGCUAACUGAAGAAACCGUUAUUACAGAAUGAGAAGGUAAUCAUUAUUUCAUGAAGACAAUUGCUCUUCAAGCCCUUUUCUGCCGAUUUCCUUCUCUUGGCUUGUCGUAUUUUGAGGGGAAUUCUUUCCAUUGGGAGCAACCAAAAUAACAAUAUUGGUUUGGCUGCCAUCAAUUUGGGUUUCACACUGUCGCUAACCUUACGCCAACUUCAGAUGCAGCUAACAAUCUAACAGCCCAACAGUGAGCGUUUUCAACAGUUGUGGCCUUGUGGGUAGGUACAGCAACAUCAAAACCACCGAAAAGCACUCGAAUGGAUUGAAUAAUAUAACUGCAGCACUGAACACGUCGAUUCUCUGGCUAACGUCGAUACAUCAGAUUAGUAGCAUAUUGAUGUAGAUUUUAUGAAAUCAUUGCAUCUGCAAUCAACUAGUAGCGCUUUCCACAAUGGAACUGAUUUCGAAGGGACACAGUAUUAUUCUUUAGUUUUAAAUCAUUUUUUUAUUUUAUAAAUGCAAAUGUGUGUUUGCAGUUUACGCCAUUUUUAUUACAAGCUAAAAAUAAAAUUAUAUUCUGGGGGUGGUUGAAUAAACUUCGCAUUUAUCGAAUUUCACGCUAACCAUUACGAAAUCGUACUAACAAAAAUGUUGUUUUCUUUAAAUUGCCAACUAGUUGACUGUUUUUUUUUUUAAGAAGCAAACUGUACGUAUAGUACGUCCAAUAUUAUCAGGCUUAAUUUGAUAAUUGGUUUAAAUUUUUAUAAUGACAUUUGCGCAACGAAUUGGGAUUUUCUCUUACUGCGGUACGGUGGGGUUUCCCGAGAAAACGGGAACCCAUUUUAUAAAUAUUAUUUAUUAUUAUUUUAUUAUUAAAUAUUAUAAAACCAUAUAAUAGUUUAUGCUGAUUUUACCUCUGUAUAUUUUUCGUUCUCAGAGACUGUAAACGAACCGUUGGUUUUUUCCCGAAUGUUUGUAGAUUUUGUUUGUUUUUAUGCAGUACACGAAUAUGGUAUGGCGA